rnacentral:miRNA from 1 species
AAGAGAGCCGUCUGUUGACAGU